GCAUACUUACAAUGAUGACGUCGUGUACGAUAAUUAAUUAACACACUGUAUGUCUAAAGAUUUCGCCUUGCUUUUUAAUCGCAAUUUAUGCUAUGUCAAUUUAAAGUCUGUAGAUCCGUGACCUUUUUGGUCUUUGAUGUCUGCACCCAGUCAAUGGAAUAACUUCAUCAUCAAGGGAAAAAUUAAAAAGCUGAGAUUGAACAUAUAUCAUUUUUUUAAAAUUUUACAAAUUAAUAUGUUUAGGUAUUUUGCAAAAUUACUAAUUUUAUUACAUAAAAUGCAUUGAUAUCCCAACAAUUCGGUUAUUUUUUAAUGCAUGUACCUUUUCUUUUAGGAUAUAAGCCCAGGCAAAACGGAGAAAAACAACAGACUUUUCAAAAUCUCACUAAAGGGAAGUCGAAAAGAAAAUUCGAAGAACUCUCCCAAUCCGAUGAUGAUUUCAGCAAAAAAACGAAGAAGCCGAAAUCGCGGACGAAGAGGUAGAAAAAGAGGACGUUUGUUGGAGACGAAUAAAAAAAUGUAUCAUGUGCAAUUUCUCAAAUUGAGGAAUAUGUUUUGACAGAGAAUGUAAAAACGUGUCUUAUCUGUGAUUGUUGUAAAUUUCUAUCUUGUACAUAGAAUUACAUAGAAUAUUAUUUUUUCUUGGUAAAUUUUUUAAAUUCUAUGUAGUAAAUGUAUUUUUAUUACAUUGAAGUUGUUGUUUCGUUUUUAAUUUUAAUUUACGAUCUGAAUAAAUACAAAAAUUUGGGGUUAAAUACAAUCAAAUCUUUGUAUUUAUCUUAGCUUAUAUGUAUGAGUUUUUUAAAAUUAACUUAAUAAUAAUUAAUAAACGAGUUUAUAUACAUUUUUA